rnacentral:tRNA from 1 species
GCUAACGUAGCUUAAUACAAAGCAUAACACUGAAGCUGUUAAGAUGGGCCCUGAGAAGCUCCGCAUGCA